rnacentral:rRNA from 1 species
GACGAACGCUGGCGGCGUGCUUAACACAUGCAAGUCGAGCGGAAAGGCCCUUCGGGGUACUCGAGCGGCGAACGGGUGAGUAACACGUGAGUAACCUGCCCCAGACUUUGGGAUAACCCUCGGAAACGGGGGCUAAUACCGGAUACGACACAGCUUCGCAUGGGGUCUGUGUGGAAAGUUUUUCGGUUUGGGAUGGGCUCGCGGCCUAUCAGCUUGUUGGUGGGGUGAUGGCCUACCAAGGCGACGACGGGUAGCCGGCCUGAGAGGGCGACCGGCCACACUGGGACUGAGACACGGCCCAGACUCCUACGGGAGGCAGCAGUGGGGAAUAUUGCACAAUGGGCGGAAGCCUGAUGCAGCGACGCCGCGUGAGGGAUGACGGCCUUCGGGUUGUAAACCUCUUUCAGCAGGGACGAAGCGUAAGUGACGGUACCGGCAGAAGAAGCGCCGGCCAACUACGU